rnacentral:rRNA from 1 species
CCUACGGGGGGCUGCAGUAAGGAAUAUUGGACAAUGGGCGCAAGCCUGAUCCAGCCAUGCCGCGUGCAGGAUGACGGCCCUAUGGGUUGUAAACUGCUUUUAUACGGGAAAAAACCCCUCUACGUGUAGAGGGCUGAUGGUACCGUAAGAAUAAGGAUCGGCUAACUCCGUGCCAGCAGCCGCGGUAAUACGGAGGAUCCGAGCGUUAUGCGGAUAUAGGGUGCUUAGGCGGAUCUGUGGGGGAGUGGUGAAAUCCUGCAGCUUAACUGUAGAACUGCCAUUGAUACUGCAAGUCUUGAGUACAUAUGAUGUGGGCGGAAUGUGUAGUGUAGCGGUGAAAUGCUUAGAUAUUACACAGAACACCAAUUGCGAAGGCAGCUCACAAAACUGUAACUGACGCUGAGGCACGAAAGCGUGGGGAGUGAACAGGAUUAGAUACCCUGGUAGUC